UGCGGGGGGAGCAAGCGUUGUUCGGAUUUACUGGGCGUAAAGGGCGCGUAGGCGGUCAGCACAAGUCAGUUGUGAAAUCUCCGGGCUUAACUCGGAAAGGUCAACUGAUACUGUGCGACUAGAGUGCAGAAGGGGCAACUGGAAUUCUCGGUGUAGCGGUGAAAUGCGUAGAUAUCGAGAGGAACACCUGCGGCGAAGGCGGGUUGCUGGGCUGACACUGACGCUGAGGCGCGAAAGCCAGGGGAGCGAACGGG
rnacentral:rRNA from 1 species